rnacentral:tRNA from 1 species
AAAGGGAGACCUAAUUCAGGUAUGGGACGAAAAAAAAGUAGUCGCUACCAAGAAUCAAUCCCAAAAGGUCGGAGCGAGGCAUGAGGCUUUCAAACUAGGUUCUGGGUUCAUAAAAGACCUGAAUCAGGAACAAGGGCUAUUAGCUCAGGUGGUUAGAGCGCACCCCUGAUAAGGGUGAGGUCCCUGGUUCGAGUCCAGGAUGGCCCACCUGCACAGGUGGCAAAAACAAGAGAAGCGAGGAAUCAGCACCUUAUCUUACUUAUAUAGUAAGAGAGAAUGCUGGCUCUGAGUAAAGAGUCCAGAGGAACCUUGAAAACUGCAUAGAGCUAGGUGAAAAAGCCAAAAAAGAAGACCGCAAG